GAGGCAUACUUCCGCUCUGGGUCCUUUUGCGUCUGCAGUGCAGUCACGGUUGUGCAACAGUGUCUCCCUGUCACAAACCCGAUCCUUCCUGUAACGGAACCGGGUUGAGUUUUGCUGCUGGCUCCGUGUAGCUGUACUAUCGGCACUAUUGGUGUAU